rnacentral:tRNA from 1 species
GCGGCCGUAGUUUAAUGGUAAAAUACAGGACUGUGGAUCCUGUGUCGCGAGUUCGAUAACUGAUAAUCAGUCGAAAGUCUCGCCGGCCGCC